rnacentral:rRNA from 1 species
CGCGUGGCAACCUACCUUUCAGGUAAGGGACAACAGUUGGAAACGACUGCUAAUACCUUAUACGUCCUCCGGGAGAAAGAUUUAUCGCUGAUAGAUGGGGCCGCGUUAGAUUAGGCUUGUUGGUGAGGUAAUGGCUCACCAAAGGCGACGAUCUAUAGCUGGUCUGAGAGGAUGAUCAGCCACACUGGGACUGAGACACGGCCCAGACUCCUAGGGAGCAGCAGUGGGAAUAUUGCACAAUGGGGGAAACCCUGAUGCAGCCAUGCCGCGUGUGUGAAGAAGGCCCUUGGUUGUAAAGCA